rnacentral:tRNA from 1 species
UGUAUCGGCCGGGAAUCGAACACGGGCCGCCGGCGUGGCAGGCGAGCAUUCUCGCCACUGAAAUACCGAUUC